GGGAUGGCGCAGUGGUGAGAGCGCUUGCCUCCAGCCGAUGUGGCCCGGGUCCGAAUCCCGGAAGCGUCA
rnacentral:tRNA from 1 species